rnacentral:rRNA from 1 species
ACACGUAGGGGCCUGACGUUGUUCGGAAUCAUUGGGCGUAAAGGGCGCGCAGGCGGCCGUCCAAGUCCGGUGUUAAAUGGUCGGGCUCAACCCGAUCAUGCGCUGGAAACUGGGCGGCUGGAGUCCCGGAGGGGAUGCCGGAAUUCCAGGUGUAGGGGUGAAAUCUGUAGAUAUCUGGAAGAACACCGAUGGCGAAGGCAGGCAUCUGGCCGGAGACUGACGCUGAGGCGCGAAGGCGCGGGGAGCGAACAGGUUUAGAUACCCUGGUAGUCCGCGCAGUAAACGAUGCGCACCAGGUGUCGGGCGGCAGCGCCCGGUACCGGAGCAAACGCGAUGAGUGCGCCGCCUGGGGAGUAUGCCCGCAACGGUGAAACUCAAAUGAAUUGGCGGGG